rnacentral:lncRNA from 1 species
AAAGCAGAUUGCCCUCCCUAAUGUGAAUGGCUCUCAUCCAUUCAAUUAAAGGCCUGAAUAGAAUAAAUAGGCUAAUUCUUCUGUGAAAAGCGGGGAACUCCUCUUGCCUGACUUCUUUGAGCUGGGACAUUGUUUUUUUUCUGGCUUUUGGGCUUGAACUGAAACAUCAGUUCUUCCUGGGUCUCAAGCCUGCCAGCUUUCAGACUGGAACUACACCAUUGGCUCUCCUGGUUCUCAGGCCUUCAUACUCAGACUGGAACUACACAUCAGCUCUCCUGGGUCUCCAGCUUGCUUUCAUGCGCGUCCGUGUGAAGAGAGCACCAAACAGGCUUUGUAUGAAGGUCACCUUUCCCAGGUUACUGAGUCCCUUCUUUUCUGCUAGGAGAAGCUUUGCCUCAGUCUCAUAUCAGCCACAUACUACUGGGAGAUACUUGUCUCCAAAUUCCUGAAUGGAGACACUGCACCUUUUCUCCUUGUAUCCUCUGACAAGUUUGAACUUUACCAGAACCCUGUGAUCCUGGAAAACAGAAAAGGUUAAUAAAUGCCCCCACUGCUUUGUGUUCCAGAAAGGGCUUUGUGCAGCUAACCAUUAUUCCCCAUGUGACUUAAAUCAGAUUCACCAAUGCUGCCUUGUGGGCAUUGAUAUGGUUCAAAUGUUUUGUCCCCUUCAAAUCUCAUGUUGAAAUGUGACCUCUAAUGUUGGAGGUGGGGCCUGGUGGGAGGUGUUUCGAUCAUGGGGGUGGAUCCCUCAUGAAGGGCUUGGUGCUGUUCUUGCAGUAAUGAGUGAGUUCUUGAUUUUAGUUCUCAUGAGAUCUGGUUGUUCAAAGAGCCUGGCACCUCCUCCUUUCUCUCUUGCUCCCUCUCUUGCCAUGUGGCGUGCCUGUUCCUACUUUGCCUUCUGCCAUGAUUGUAAGCUUCCCAAGGCCCUCACCAGAAGCAAAUGCUGACACUAUGCUUCUUGUACAGCCUGCAGAACUGUGAACCAAAUGAACCUCUGUUCUUUUUAAAUUACCCAAUUUCACAUAUAUUUUUGUAGCAACACAGAGUAAAUAGCCAUCAACACUUAUAACAAGGCCAGACGCAGACCCUCUAAAUUCCUUUUGUUUGUCUCAUAAAUGAUAUUAGCUAAGCUGUUUUGUCCCCACUGAUCAAUCAGAAAAAAAUGCAGGCUAAACCAACUUUGGUUAAGAUUCUUUGCUUCUCCUAGGCUGAACUUUGUCCCGCCCUCAGCCUCAGCCAGCACACAGCUCCUCCUCCACAGCCUCUCCCUGGAGUACGCUGCAGAGUUCAGGGUAAAAUAUUCCCUCAUCUACUGGCAGAUCGUGUCACUCCUGUCAUGGUACUUCUCCACACCUGGUUCUUUCUAGCCUUGUCUAUUCUUUCCUAUGAAAGAGAAUCUCUUUUUUCCUAACCCUUGAGAUACUUCCAGAUCUCAUGAUAAGAAUGUUCUCCAAACUACAACAGCCCCUUUCUCCUUACUGUAAUGGUCCAGUCUCCCUCUUGCACUAAUCCUUUCGAAUAAAGUCUCUUUAUUUUAUUUUAUUCUAUUUUAAGAUGGAGUCUUGCUCUGUUGCCAGGCUGGAGUGCACUGGCGUGAUCUCAGCUUAUUGCAAUCUCCGCCUCCCGGGUUCAAGGAAUUCUCCUGUCUCAGCCUCCCCAGUAGCUGGGACUACAGGCCCAUGGCACCACGCCCAGCUAAUUUUUGUAUUUUUAGUAGAGACUGGGUUUCACCAUUUUGUCCAGGAUGGUCUCGAUUUCUUGACCUUGUGAUCCGCCCGCCUCGGCCUCCCGAAGGGCUGGGAUUACAGGCGUGAGCCACCCACCGCACCCAGCCUGAAUAAAGUCUCUUCUUACCUAAGUGCCAAAUUGUUUUUGGACAUUCUCAGAGUGUUUAAAAAUGCAUGCUGUAUUGAAUUAAAAUAUGUUAUUAGCUCAAAAUUCAAUCACAAAAACUGUAUUAAGCAAUUAAUAUAUGAGGAAUAAGUUGUAUCAGAUUUUGCCAGAGCUUCCCUGACACAUGCAAAUUCAUGGUUUGGUUGGGUAGAAUAGACACAAAUGCUCUCAGUUAAAUAACAAAAGAAGAGUAAAAUAACACAAGCAUAGUAGGUGAUAAAGGCAGUGUGAUUAAUCUCUGAGUAGCAAAGAGAAUUAUUCUUUUGAGUUCCAAGGAAGCAGAGCUCAUAGUUUUGAGGUUUAAAUUUGGGCUUGGGUGUUUUUAGUAACUUUGGAUGAAGAACACAAGUUUUAUUUUCCCACCUGAGUGCAGAAUGGUAAGUGUGGAUUGUAGAGCAAAGGAAAUUAACUUCCACCAGUGGGAUUUUGAUCCUCUGAUAUCAGAAUGUGUCACAGCCUGCAGAGAUUAAAUUUCUCAGCAUUAGGUGUAAACAGACACUCACUCCCAUGACUUUGCUUUCAAAAAAAUUAGCUGACAUUUAAGCUUGAAAUAGCCAUGUUGUUGCACCCACUAUUUAAUUCAGAUAUAUCACAGAUGCUGCAUUUGGAUGUUUAUUCUAUAAAAAAAACUGUGUAAAAGUGGAUUGGUUGGAAGAGUUGUAAUUACUCAGAUAGGAUCAGGAAAGAAUAUGGGAGAAGGUAAAGGGGGAACUCCAUCUCACCACUGUGCUGGGUGCCUGAAAGAUGUCACAACAUUUAAUUCCCAUAAUAUUUCCUUAAAGUAGGUGCAUAUUUCCCCAUAGUGAAGGUGCGGAGAGCUCUUGGUAAGGAAUAACUCUUCAAGUAGAGAAAUAAGAUAAGAAAUGACCAUUGACUUUCCACACCAGUUAACUUUUCAUAGUACCUUAGUUUUGGCUUGGAAUUCUGAUAUGGUGGUGAGGGUUCUAAAUCAUUAGUAUGAAAUAAGAGUAUCCUCAGCAUAGCAUUAAACAGAAAAUUGCUUUGAGGGCAGAGAAAUUCUUGGGAUCCUGCAGAAAAGACAAAUGUGGUAUAUUAUAUUUAGUAAUUGCUUGCUGUAAUGGGUACAAGAGGUUAUACCUGUUACAAUGAUUAAGAAAUACAGUCCCUAAAGAAAUGGAAUGCAAUGUUCUACUUAAAGGAGGACACUAGAAUAAAUAUGAUUUCACAGUCCAUACUUUUAGGGUUGUAUUUUUCUAAUUAUAACACCAAACUGUAGUUCCUUUAAAUAAAUACCUGAAGAUGUAAAGACACAACUUAUAUUAACUGCUAAUGUAUUCCUCAGUGCCCAAUUGUGAUUCUUAUAUUCAGCUCUGCAUUCUGCUUUUUAAUUCCACUUGUUGUAGAUUUUUGUAUUAAGGUAUAUAUUUUAGUGUCUCUUUGUUCUGCUAACAUGAAAUGUGUUAUGAUUUAUUCAAUCAUCCCUAUAAUAAAGAUUAAAGUUUUUUCUGAGUUUCCAGAAACAGCAC